rnacentral:rRNA from 1 species
AGUGAACGCUGGCGGUAGGCCUAACACAUGCAAGUCGAACGGCAGCACAGUAAGAGCUUGCUCUUACGGGUGGCGAGUGGCGGACGGGUGAGGAAUACAUCGGAAUCUACUUUUUCGUGGGGGAUAACGUAGGGAAACUUACGCUAAUACCGCAUACGACCUACGGGGGAAAGCAGGGGAUCUUCGGACCUUGCGCGAUUGAAUGAGCCGAUGUCGGAUUAGCUAGUUGGCGGGGUAAAGGCCCACCAAGGCGACGAUCCGUAGCUGGACUGAGAGGAUGAUCAGCCACACUGGAACUGAGACACGGUCCAGACUCCUAAGGGAGGCAGCAGUGGGGAAUAUUGGACAAUGGGCGCAAGCCUGAUCCAGCCAUACCGCGUGGGUGAAGAAGGCCUUCGGGUUGUAAAGCCCUUUUGUUGGGAAAGAAAAGCAGCAGGUUAAUACGCCGCUGUUCUGACGGUACCCAAAGAAUAAGCACCGGCUAACUUCGUG